rnacentral:rRNA from 1 species
CCCGUUCCCAUCUCGAACACGGCCGUUAAGCCCUCCUGCGCCGAUGGUACUUGGGGUCUCCCCUGGGAGAGUAGGUCGUUGCCGGAU